rnacentral:rRNA from 1 species
GACGAACGCUGGCGGCGUGCCUAACACAUGCAAGUCGAGCGGAAAGGCCACUUCGGUGGUACUCGAGCGGCGAACGGGUGAGUAACACGUGAGUAAUCUGCCCCUGGCUUUGGGAUAGCCACCGGAAACGGUGAUUAAUACCGGAUACGACCACUUCUCGCAUGGGAUGGUGGUGGAAAGUUUUUUCGGCCAGGGAUGUGCUCGCGGCCUAUCAGCUUGAUGGUGAGGUAAUGGCUCACCAUGGCUUCGACGGGUAGCCGGCCUGAGAGGGUGACCGGUCACACUGGGACUGAGACACGGCCCAGACUCCUACGGGAGGCAGCAGUGGGGAAUAUUGGACAAUGGGCGGAAGCCUGAUUCAGCAACGCCGCGUGAGGGAUGACGGCCUUCGGGUUGUAAACCUCUUUCAGCAGGGACGAAGCGCAAGUGACGGUACCUGCAGAAGAAGCACCGGCCAACUACGUGCCAGCCGCCGCGGUAA